rnacentral:rRNA from 1 species
UACAGAGGGGGCAAGCGUUGUUCGGAAUUACUGGGCGUAAAGGGCGCGUAGGCGGCCAACUAAGUCCGACGUGAAAUCCCAAGGCUUAACCUUGGAACUGCGUCGGAUACUGGAUGGCUUGAAUUCGGGAGAGGGAUGCAGAAUUCCAGGUGUAGCGGUGAAAUGCGUAGAUAUCUGGAGGAAUACCGGUGGCGAAGGCGGCAUCCUGGACCGACAUUGACGCUGAUGAGCGAAAGCUAGGGGAGCAAACGGG